GGGGUGGGGGCGGGGUGCAGUCUGAGACAUGGGUUGAUGCUGUGAAAGGGUUUUCAUCAUGGGAAAAGUUGGGAAGUUUGCUUUACUCUUUUCUGGGAGCAUGUCUGAGAGGAAAGACCUGGGUUGAAGGAGCAGUGGCUGCAGGAGGCGUGCUCUUCUCAGGCUGCAAGGCUGAAGCCGAGGAGGCCAAGUCAUCCAAGCAAGCACAUUUGAGACCUCUGCCUGGAUGUGGACGAGCGACAUUCCAUCGCUUCAGGUCUGGAGCCGCAGGACAGCUUAGUCAGCCCCAGUCCAACCCUGCCUCCUGCCUUGCCACAUGCCCAUCUCAGGAGACUGCUCCCCGCCACCCCGCCAACUCGAAAAACAUUCAUUUCCCCCAAUUCAAAUAUUUUCACCCUCUAGAAGACUUGUUAAUAUUGUAUCUUCAGGAGC
ensembl:lncRNA